UCCGCCUACUGGUAGUCAUUCGAUUGAUUUACUCUCCCGGUGUUCAUAGGCAAGGCUUGCAUUAACCUCAGAAGACUCCAACCUUGGAAUAUUUACUGAGAAAACGAAGUUAAACUGAUACACACUUCAAUGUAGCAUAAACCCACGAGGUUGAAUUUAGUGGAAUAACUCUGGGUCGAAUGGUUUUCCUUUGUUGUGACAGGACACAUUUCGUUUUGACAAUAUUUGGUGGCCACCCACCUCAACACGUUUGACACAGACAGCAGCCCAUUUGUCGCGUGGUGUGAGGACAGUUGGUCUCAGGACUUCGUAAAAUAUUCCUACAACUUCACUUGGGAGAAAAAGCCUGAAAUAAUUGAUAAAGGUUUCCCAUUUGGUCAAUGGAAUGUUAGCGGUCUGGAGGCGUGCGUGCCAGAACUGAAGGAGCAUGGUGAAGCACCAACCCCUGCAGGUUUACGAGAGGCAGCUGUGUUUGUCAUGUCUCACAGGGAUCUAUGGGUGCCGGUGGAAGCGGUACCAACGGUCACAUGAUGACACCACCAAGUGGGAGUUCCUGUGGUCUCUCAUCCUCGUCUUCACCUUCUCUCUGCUCCUGGUCUGGUUCUACUUCUGGUGGGAGGCACACAAUGACUUCAGUGAGUUCAACUGGUUUUUAUAUAACCGCUCUGGGGAGUGGAGCGACGGGACCGUUCCAAUCCUGGCCACUACCGCUGCCGGCUUCACUUAUAUUGCAUUUUUAAUGAUUUUAGCACUUUGCCACAUAGCAGUGGGACAACAGCUGAACUUGCACUGGCUGCACAAGAUUGGAGUGAGUGCUGCCUUGCUGACCACUGCCAUCGGAUUCAUAUCUGUCAAUCAAAUAUGGGGGGAGGAGUGGGCAGUCAUUCCUAUAUCACUCCAGGCAACAGGUCCCUUCCUACACCUAGGAGCUCUGGUGGCUGUCACCGCUCUGGCCUGGCUGGUGGCUGGGCAGGUCGCCCGCACAGAAAAAAUAAGGUUCCAGGUAGUGGUUCUCCUGCUCUACCUGAGUGUUCUACUGGGCCUCUACAUGGCCCCCCUUUCCAUCACCUCCCCCUGCAUCAUGGACCACGCCAACCUCACUCCACGCCCUGACGUCAUUGGCCACCAGGGCGCCCCCAUGCUGGCUCCAGAGAACACUAUCCUGUCCUUCCAGAGGGCUCUGCAGAUGAACGUCAGUGGGCUGGAGGCUGACGUGGCCAUCAGCUUUGACGGGGUGCCAUUUCUGAUGCGAGACCGCACCUUGAGGAGGACUACAGACGUGGGGAAGGUGUUUCCAGCCAGACAGCUGGACGAUGCCUCCUCCUUCAACUGGACAGACUUACACAGCCUCAACGCCGGCCAGUGGUUCCUCAAGGAUGACCCCUUCUGGACGGUCCAGUCCAUGGCUCAGAGGGAGGUGAUGCUGGUGGGGAACCAGAGCGUGUGUAGUCUGGAGCAGCUGCUGAGGCUAGCCUCCCUCCAUAACCACACAGUGGUGUUCAGCCUGCGACGACCCCCGCACGGACACCCCUGCUACCACAGCUGGAUCAACGAUACCCUGGAAGUCAUACGCCUGUCUGGGAUUCCACAGCACCUGGUGAUGUGGACCCCAGACUGGGACAGGGGGCAGGUAAGACAGGUGGCUCCAGGGCUUCAGCAGACAUCAGUAGAGAAGCUGCCGCCUCAAGUCCUUCACCAGCAGGGAAUCAGCAGCCUGCUGCUACGUUACAGCCAGGCCAGCCCCUAUGACAUCCAAGAGUUCUCCAGGAGCAACGUGAGUGUGACUCUGUACACGGUCAACGAGCCCUGGCUGUUCUCUGUGCUCUGGUGCAGCGGGGUCUCCUCUGUCUCCUCUGAAGCCCCCAACAUCCUCAGAAAGGUGCCUUACCCCAUCUGGCUCAUGAGUCCAGAUGAAUAUUGUCUGAUCUGGGUCGCCGCUGAUCUCAUCUCCUUCACUGUAGUUGUAGGAAUUUUUGUAUUCCAAAACUAUCACAUUAUCAGAUGGAGGUUGAGUGGCAUGCACAGCUACAACCCUGAACAGAUCAUGCUGAGUGCCGCAGUCCGGAGGUCCAGCAGAGACGUCAACAUCAUGAAGGAGAAACUAAUCUUCUCCGGUCAACCGCAGUAGCCGUCUCAUCCUGUGUGUGUGUGACCUGCACUCCUCUCCACCUCCACUCUUCAUCCUGCCAUCUGUCCAUCCUCCUCCGGCUGCUGUGACCAUUCCUCCGACCAUUCCAUCCAUGCCUCCCUUCCCGCCUCCCUCCCUCUGCCUGCCCCGCCCUUCCCCUCGCUCCUCCCCAAUCGCCCACAGAGUCCUGCAUCAUGUAUAAGGGCUCCUAGACAGCCCACUGUGACCCACCAGCCUCUCCUGGUGGGUGGUGAAAGAGGUGAGCAAUGGUGUGGGCAGUGCUGAGGACCUGUACAUGGAGAAUGGCUUUGACUACUACAACAACGAAGGCAUCUCCCAUUGACUCUCACUCUCCUAAUGCGAAUCUACUGAAAGACACCUGACUCUACUAGCAUGUGGAAACUGAGUAAAUUAAGACUUCCAAGUGACUGUCUUGUGAUUGGCUUGUCUGUUCUGAUUACUCUUGUUUUACUCAGUGCAUCCAGAUAGUUUUUGGUUUGUUCCUCUGAGCUACUGAUUGACAGGCUGCUGUCUUGCUGAAGAAUCCCAGGUAAGCACCACCCAUUGCUUUGUACAUUCUGUAAAUAGGUUUGUUUUUGCUUGUUAAAUACAAUGUGGGACUAAAAGCACUUUUUAUUGAUGAACCAAUUGAUUCGUCAGAUCUGUGGCCUCUAGAUCAUUUUUUUUUGUUUACAAUUUGUUUGUCAGAAAAGGGCAUUUAUUUGAAAAUAUAUUGGUCCAUUAUAUAUCGUUUUUCACUCAAAUCUCCCGUGGGCAGGGAUCGAAUGGGCUCAUGGGCCGUAUCUGGCCCACUGGCCGUAGUUUGCCCACCCCUGCUCUAGAUGCUUUGGAGACCCCCCAGUUACCAAUGCUUGUUUAUUAUUAAGAACCUAUUUGUUUGUUUUUAAACUGUUAUUUACUUGCAGCCACUUCAUAGCACAGCUAAUUCUUAGUUAUUUAGAGGAUUUGAAAUACUUGUGCAGCAUUGCCCCUAUUUCUUGCCAUGUUUGGGCGCUAUUCUAAUUUUUAGGAACAAAAACAACACGAACAAGCUGUUUACAGAGGGUCCUGCCUUCUCCGACUAAGUGAAAUAUUUACAUGAUGUAAGAUAAUGAUUUGAACAGCAUUUCCUUCAUCCAUGCAUGUGACAUACAAUAUCAAGUGACUGUGCUGUCUCGGGCAAGGCUUGUGUUCAGGCAGAACUAUGUCUGCUGGGUGUGUUUUUGUGAUGUUUUCAGUUUAUUGUGAAUGUUUUGAUUUUUAAAGGAUGUGAACAGUGUAUUAUGGCAGUAGAGAUUUCACCACCUACCCCAAGUAUGCAGUUCUACAUGGAGUGUGUACAUAUUACAAAAGUUUUAUAUGCUAUGGCUGUCUGAGGAUUAUAUUGGAAAUGUGAUGCAUAAUAAUAGCAAUAGUGUUGAGAAGUUUAUGAAAGUCAAGUCAUUUAAAUAUUUUGCAGACCAACUCUUCAAUGGCAUUUGAACUCAUGAUGAUGGUGUUGUGGUGUUUGAAAAGCAAACUGCAUCAUAUAGUGACAUUAAAGGGUAUCUUUUAUGUCGUGAUGAAGUGGGGUGUUAUAUUAACUGUGAAAAUAAAGCUCUAGGCUGUUGAAGGGACAACGCUGAGUAUCAGAAUAGUUCACACAGGGAUUGACUUGUGUUCAUUUACUCCUUUGGUAUUUGUGUGCCUCAGAAGUCAACAUUAAAAUGCUUCUGAUACCAAAGUGA